UUUUAAUUAUAAAAUGUAAAGGACGUUCGAAUUUUUUUCGAAUUUGUAAAUUUUUACCGAAAAUUUAUGAAAGGAUAUAACGCGAUCGCCACCCUAUUAACCAAUAUAACCAAAAAAAAUUAAAAUUCCAAUAAACGGAAUAGGUAUAACAAAUUUUUAAAUAAUUACAAAACGCAAUGGUACGAAAAUUAAUUUUUAAAAUACCAAAUUUAACGAAAUUUUUCGAAAUUAAAACCGAUAUAUUGGAUUAUAUAAUUGGGGGAUAAUUUAACCAACGAAACGAAAAAAAACAAUUAUAUUUUUGCGCCUUUUUUUUACAAAAAUUAUAUGGACUAGAAUUUAAUUACCAAAUCCACGAUAAAAAAUUUAUAAUUAUUAUCCGAAUAUUUGAAAAAUGGAAAUUACAAUUAUCCGGAAUUAAAUAUAAGGUGUUAAUUUAUACGAAUUAUAAAAACUUAACCUAUUUUAUUGUUAAUAAAAUAUUAAAUAAACGAUAAAUUAAAUAGUUAAAAUUCCUAUUAAAAUUCCAUUUUAGGAUUAUUUACCGAAAAAGAACCGAAAACGGCAGGGCCGACGCCUUUAACCGAAGAUUAAAUUACGAAAAUAUAAUACCGGAAAAAAUACGGGUUAUUUUUACAAUAAAUGGAAACGGAAAUUUUUUAUUAAUAUACCGGAAUUUUAUAAUAAUAAAUAUAAUAAUUAUAUUAGAAAAUAUACGGAAAAUUUACAAAAGUAAAACCCACGGAUAUUAAGGAAUUUCCAAGACGUGGAAACGGUUAAAAUAAUAUUAUAAUUUUAAAAAAAUACGAUAAAAAAUACGAAAAAUUAUUAAAGAUUGCGAAUUUUGCGCGAAAAGCAAGUCCGCAAAAUAUAAAUUAUAUGGGUUAAUAUAAUUAUUACCAAUUUCCAGCAAAAUAUAACAAAUUAUUUUAAUGGAUUUUAUUAUUAAAUUACCAUUUUCGGAAGAAUUAUUUAUUAAAACCAAAUACGAUAAUAUAUUAGUUAUAAUAAAUAAAUUUAUUAAAUA
rnacentral:sRNA from 1 species